rnacentral:rRNA from 3 species
GGGUUGUGAGGUUAAGCGACUAAGCGUACACGGUGGAUGCCCUGGCAGUCAGAGGCGAUGAAGGGCGUGCUAAUCUGCG